GAAGGAUCAUUAGAGAGCGGCACUCGUGCCGGACCCUCUCCCACCCUUGUGUAUCCAUCUCUGUUGCCUUGGCGGGAUCCCCUCCGGGGGCCGGAAUGCGCGGGAGGCAAUGCUCCCGGCCCGUCAGAGGCUUAUAAAAAACACUGCCAUCGUGUCUAUCCGAGUCGUGGUUAUAAAAAGCAAAACUUUCAACAACGGAUCUCUUGGUUCUGGCGUCGAUGAAGAACGCAGCGAAAUGCGAUAAGUAGUGUGAAUUGCAGAAUUCAGCGAACGAUCGAAUCUUUGAACGCACAUUGCGCCCUCUGGUAUUCCGGGGGGCACGCCUAUUCGAGCGUCAUUUACACCCUCAAGCCUGGCUUGGUAUUGGGCCCCCGCCCCUCGGGCGGGGCCUGGAACGCCUGCGGUGGGCGCUGGACCCCUCUCUCGCACCAGAAGAACUAUCUUCACGCGGGAGGGGGCCCUAGUUGCUGUCCGGAAAGCACCAACCUUUUGACCUCGGAUUAGGCGGGAAGACCCGCUGAACUUAA
rnacentral:rRNA from 1 species